rnacentral:misc_RNA from 1 species
CUGCGCGUCAGAUCGCUGUCAGAGCUUGUCUCGUGAGGACGUAGUGUAGUCUUUGCAGAGUUAGCUAGUAAAUUCGGCGUUAAAAAUCGUAGGAAAUCGAGCUCUGAGUUGCCGGUAAUCAAGGAAGACACAGAGGUACAUAGAGAGGAAACACGAUAACCCGUUUUGCAGAUAUACGCAGAAGUCAGGUAACGCAGACCGGUGGUAGAAAGACAAAGGGAAUCGAGAAGCCGCACACGCCGCGUUUGAAAGCCGAAAAAUGGCCGAAGAGAAAAAUGAGACCAGCCCGACCGUAGAGGGGGAUAAAACGGGCCAGGAAAUAGCAGCGAAGGACGAGAACGAGGCGAAAAAUGAAAAGACCGAGGGACAGAAGGAGUCCGCGGAUGAGAAAAAGGCCGAGGAGAACGGGGAUGGCGAAAAAUCUAAAGAAAACGGCGAGGAGAAGCCGUCGCCCGAGCCGAAAGACAUGCGGGCUAUCGUUCUCAACGGUUUUGGCGGAUUGAAGAGCGUCAAGGUUCUUCGCAAGCCCGAACCGGCACUCGGCGAGGGCGAGGUUCUUAUUCGCGUCAAAGCAUGCGGUCUCAAUUUCCAAGAUCUCAUGGCGCGGCAGGGGGCGAUAGAUUCUUUACCGAAAACCCCGUUCAUUAUGGGCGUCGAGUGCGCCGGUGACAUCGAACAGGUUGGCGAAGGUGUCGAGAACUUCAAGGUGGGUGACAGGGUCGUGGCUUUACCGGAUCACAGGGCGUGGGCAGAACUAGUCGCGGUACCUGCCACGUCCGUAUUCACGCUCCCCGACGGCAUGAGCUACCUGGACGCAACUACGAUCACGAUGAACUACACGGUUGCUUACAUACUGCUGUUCGAGUUGGCGAAUCUCUCCCCGGGGAAAAGUCUUUUGGUACACAGCGCCGGCGGUGGUGUGGGCCAAGCGGUUGUUCAAUUAGCGAAAACUGUGAAGGAUGUCGUAAUUUUCGGAGUAUGCAGUAAGUCUAAACACGAGGCUCUGAAAGAAGCUGGAACCAUUGAUCACUUGUUGGAACGAGGACCUGAUUACAGCGCAGAAGUGAGAAAGGUUUCUCCAGAAGGAGUAGAUAUCGUUUUGGAUUGCAUGUGUGGCGAAGAAUGCAACAGAGGAUAUGCUCUACUUAAACCGAUGGGGAAAUAUAUCCUGUACGGUUCAAGCAACCUUGUAACUGGCGAAACUAAGAGCUUGUUUUCGGCUGCCCGAUCCUGGUGGCAAGUCGACAAGGUGUCUCCUCCAAAAUUGUUCGAUGAAAACAAAUCUAUUUCCGGUUUCAAUUUACGUCAUCUGAUGCAUCAACACGGCGGACAGGGUUUCGUUAGACAAGCCGUUGACAAAGUGUACAAAUUAUGGGCUGACGGAAAGAUAAAACCCGUUGUGGAUUCUACUUGGGCAUUAGAAGACGUCCCAGAAGCCAUGCAGAAGAUGCAUGACCGGAAAAAUAUUGGAAAGAUUGUUUUGGACCCUAGCCUGGAACCCAAACCGAAACCAGCUACGCCCGCCAAGGGUAAGGCAAAGGAAAAGAAGGCUGCGAGCGUUGACGAUAAAAAGGCUUCUAGUGUGGAAUCAACUGAUGGCGAUAAGAAGAAGGAACCAGAACUAACUAACGGAACAUCGGAAGACAAAUCAGACACCGAUUCCAAAGAAAAAGAAUCGAGUUGAAUUAGCAGUGUCAGCUAAUCUACAAAUUAAAAAGACCUGCACACGAUUGUCUGUGAAAAACACAUAUUCAUCUACUAAAAGGGUGGACUCCUAUAUCCAAUUGAAGAUUUGCUACCUAUAAAAACAAAUCAACCAAAUAUCAAUUGACGUGGUCCAUGUUAGUCUCUAACGUAAAUAUCAAUUUUAUUUUUAAUACCUAUAUUUUAAUUUUUGCAUACCUAUCUUGUAAUUUGAAUAAUAUAUGAUGAUGUAUCGAGGUUUGAAUCACUUGAAUUUAAAAACUAAGCUGUAUGCGAGAGAUUGAAAAAUAUUUCACAUGGUGGCAGCAUCCAUGUUUCAUACAUACAUAUUAUUAUACAUACACCCGUGCAUAUUAUAUUGCCUUGAGCCACAGUUCGAUUACACAUACCAAAGUUUUGACGCGUUAUGAACAUUGUCUACAAAAUUACAAGCUUUUUAAUAGUGAAUUUUUCAAAUCCUGAUUAUUAUUCCUAUGAUACUGUCAUUGCCAUUUUUACAAUAAAUUGCUCAGUUUUGAUAUAAAUACAUAACUACUUGAAACAUAGUUGAUCGUGGCCACUGUGUGUGUUUACCUGGGCUACAUUUCAAUUUCAAUUCUAUAGAACAAGCGUUUCGAAAUCAUCUGAAUUGUCGCGUUUUGCAGACACUAAUAAUCUUUCAAAACUUUUUUCCUACUUUUAUCCAAGGUACACGCAUGCAAACAAUAUUAUUUCACAAAUAAGAAUUGAAACGUAGCUCAAUGUAUGAAUGAGCCUUGAGAAACUUAGAAUCUUAUAGAAGCAUGUAGUAGAAGUGCUGCACAAGAAAACGUAAAUAAUAGUUACUGCGUGGAUAUUUAUCUUUAUAAGUCAAACUUUAACCAUUUGGCGCUCUAAUUAACGGUCUCCUGGUGACCCGAAGGUUUUAAUAACCAACGAAUUAUUCGAACUCUCUAAAAAUCGUGAUUGUAUCAAAUUAUUUUACAUGGAAAGUUAUAUGGUAAAGUCGCUUUCAAAAAAAGCUGAAAUUACAUAUUGAGAUUUUAAUUUCAUGUGAAGAUUAAUCUCACAUUUUUCGACAUAAUCCUGCGAUUAGUUACUUGACAAGAAAAAUCUUAUUCCAUUAUUUUCAUCACUUCAUACAAAUUUUAUUUACCAUUAUUGCACGUAAACACGUGCACGUAGAAUCCAAUUAGCAUAAGAUAUUUUAGCUAGGACACAAGAAUGAAAAAUUACGCAAAUUUACCGCCAAAAAUAUUUGUUACUCAAUUUCUUGUAAUUUGUAAUUCUUAGUUAGUCAAUAUUAUUCGGUAUACACAUUCACUAUAAAUUUUCACGGCGAGUAAAUAAUUAGAUAAUAUGCCUAACGUCUAUUCCUAUACAUCGACUAAAUUCAGUUUUUGCGAUAUUUAGUACAUUUCAAUGGUGAUCAAAAGUGAACGCGAUUAAUUCAAAGCUGAGUAUUACGAAUACCAUGCAACUAAACAUAACAAUAAUGUAUGAAAAAACAACUAUUCAUAUGUUUUGUAAUUCAUAUUAACGUUGUAAACCUGAUAUCUCUUGUAACUAUUGAAAUGUAUAAUGUAUUCAAUUAAUUUUUAAUAAGAACACAAGUGCAUAUCUUGACAAGGAACAUCGGAUCAAUUUUCUAUAGCCAGUUUAGUGAAUUUGAUACUACUAAUGCUGUACUUUAAAAAAUAUCUACCAAUUUUUGAAUAUUCCUAUAUAUAUACAUAUAUAUGUGUGUGUAUAUAAAUAGUUAUAUUAAAACGCUAUGCUAGCAGUAAAAAGUAUAUGUAUAAUAAUUUAAUUUGAAAAAAGUGAAAAAAGAGGAAAUUUGCCAAUACACAGUAAUCGCGGCUACAUGUUUGAAUGAUAAAAAAAUAUAUACAACACACAAUGUAAAUUUUACGUAAGGCUUUAAAUGUUUCAUCAAAUACCUAUCUAUUAUAAUAUAAUAUAUCUAUAUAUUUGUAUCAACUAUCUUCUCUAUUUUAGUUUAUAGACUAAGGAUAUGGUCGAAGAAAGAGUUUUUAGGAACAGUAUUUAUAUCCAAUGUAUGUAAACAACAAAACCUUUGAUAGCUUGAGCAUAGUUUUAUAAUCAUGUAGUGCGUUUCGUGUAUAAUUUUUUCGGAACAACUGCAAGUACGUAGAUACAUAGAUGUUUUACAUACAUAGAAAAGUUUAACACACUCCUGUUCUGAUGUCACUACAAAGUCUGAGGUGUAUAAAUAAAAAAAAGUUUGGCACUCUUUCUACCGCUGUAUUCUUAGAUGAAGAAAGGCGAUAAUAAUACCAUGAUAUUAAUUUACGAUGUAUACAGCUAGCUUCAAAUUGAAUUUGUCGCAGUGGAAAAACGUAUCUGAUCACAUAUUUUGUAAUUUGCUGAGAUAAUUUCAUAUUUUUUCUAAAUUAUUAUCUAAGAAUACGUAUUUUUAAUGUAGUUAAUUAUUAUAUUUGAAACCAGCUGUAGAAUUAUAAACAGUAUGAAGGAAGAUCUUCAGUUUUUAAUAAAAUGUACAAUAUAACACACGGAUAUUUUUAAUUAUUUUUUUUUUUUUUGUUUGCAAACUAGCAUAUUUUAUUCACGCCAAAACGUUGUAUAAAUUUAAUUUUAUUCUAGGUUUCAGAUUUUUUGGCAACUCAGAAUCCAGUCAAUGAAAUUUAAAUUGCCAAUGGUAACUCAUUAUAUACAUGUAUAAGGUGUAAAAUUUAUCCAUGGAGCGGAUAAAAUUAUACCGUUGCAAAAAUGAUGUAUCUUUUGGAACCAGAAUGAAUUUGAAAAAUAUCUUUCAUUUGCUCCAAACAGCUUGAUAUGAAGAUUGUAUUUUGGCUUAUUAUUGUAAGACUGACUAUGUUGCUAUAUUAAAGAUUGCUUCAAAAACA